AAUCUCGUAGCUCAGUGGUAGAGCAUUGUACUUAUGUGGAUACCUUAUCCCACUCCUGCUAUGCAGUGGUCCCGAGUUCAAUCCUCGGCGGGAUUA
rfam:Fibulorhizoctonia sp. CBS 109695 unplaced genomic scaffold FIBSPscaffold_175, whole genome shotgun sequence.